rnacentral:tRNA from 2 species
GCCGGGGUAGGGUAGAGGUAUCCUACGGGACUGUGGAUCCCGCGACCCGGGUUCGAAUCCCGGCCCCGGCCCCA